rnacentral:rRNA from 1 species
AGUGAACGCUGGCGGUAGGCCUAACACAUGCAAGUCGAACGGCAGCACAGGGGAGCCUGCUCUCUGGGUGGCGAGUGGCGGACGGGUGAGGAAUACAUCGGAAUCUACUCUGUCGUGGGGGAUAACGUAGGGAAACUUACGCUAAUACCGCAUACGACCUACGGGUGAAAGCAGGGGACCUUCGGGCCUUGCGCGAUUGAAUGAGCCGAUGUCGGAUUAGCUAGUUGGCGGGGUAAAGGCCCACCAAGGCGACGAUCCGUAGCUGGUCUGAGAGGAUGAUCAGCCACACUGGAACUGAGACACGGUCCAGACUCCUACGGGAGGCAGCAGUGGGGAAUAUUGGACAAUGGGCGCAAGCCUGAUCCAGCCAUACCGCGUGGGUGAAGAAGGCCUUCGGGUUGUAUAGCCCUUUUGUUGGGAAAGAAAUCCAGCCGGCUAAUACCCGGUUGGGAUGACGGUACCCAAAGAAUAAGCACCGGCUAACUUCGUGCCAGCCGCCGCGGUAAAAC